rnacentral:piRNA from 1 species
UGAUGAGAAUGUGAAACAGUGCGAGC